UACGGAGGGUGCAAGCGUUUAUCCGGAUUCACUGGGUUUAAAGGGUGCGUAGGCGGGCAGGUAAGUCCGUGGUGAAAUCUCUGAGCUCAACUCAGAAACUGCCAUGGAUACUAUUUGUCUUGAAUAUUGUGGAGGUCAGCGGAAUAUGUCAUGUAGCGGUGAAAUGCUUAGAUAUGACAUAGAACACCAAUUGCGAAGGCAGCUGGCUACACAGUUUAUUGACGUGAGGCACGAAAGCGUGGGGGAUCAAACAGG
rnacentral:rRNA from 1 species